CUAUUUCCACUGAAAGUUUGGAAAGUUUUUCCAAAACAGAACUGUUUCUCUGCAUGGAUUGUUGUAACUUAAUUGUUGAUUUAUGAUUAAUUUGGUUAAAGAGCAGAACGAUCUGUGCUGUUAAUGUUCAAAGUUGAUACCGUCAGAAAAAGAAAGUCCCGUGCGUAAAAGUCAGAGAUGCAAGAAAACAGAUUUUAGCAACAACACAACCAAAAAAUAAAAUAGACCCAUGUUCCGUGUAUCACUCGAAUGCAGCAUCAGGACAAUAAAUUCGUAGGAUAUGACAUCUUUUGAUCAACUUAACCCUUCACCAUCCAAACAGGUCUGCUGGGAGUUCGGUGCGUAACGCGUAAUGUGACGGUUUUUCUUUGGUAAUAUUUUGGACUGGACAACGUGGGUCAGAUUGUUACCGAUUUACUAUGACUACAUUUCAUCAAAUCUUUCAAGUCAUCGAAUUGCUCACUUGUAUCACUUCUUUGGCAGCCUGCAUCAUGGAUCGCCAUGACCAGUCAACAUAAAACUGUUCCUGGACAGGACGUCUCCCUCUGCUGGCGACUACCUGCUGUUGUGGAAAGAUGAGGUGAUCACUACAUAAUAGCCGUGCCGGGAAAAAAUGCUGAAGUGAUGCUGGUGCAGUGUGUCGUGCCAGAAUCAACAUAACCUGCACCGCCUUUUACAAAGACUCCCAAACUGGACUGUCAUUUUGAGGUACUUGUACUUGACUUGAGUAAUUCCGUUUUCUGCUACUUUACACUUCUACUGCACAACAUCUUGGAAGCAAAGAUUGUACUUUUUACUCCACUACAUUUAUCUGACAGCUUUAGUUACUUUG